UCUCUGGUAGUAUAUCGGUUAGUACACGCGCCUGUCAUGGAUUGCAUAAAAUUAUGCCGCGCGAAAGCUGGGUUCGACUCCCAGCCAGAGAG